UACGAAGGGGGCUAGCGUUGCUCGGAAUUACUGGGCGUAAAGGGCGCGUAGGCGGACAGUUUAGUCAGAGGUGAAAGCCCAGGGCUCAACCUUGGAAUUGCCUUUGAUACUGGCUGUCUUGAGUUCCGGGAGAGGGUGAGUGGAAUGCCGAGUGUAGAGGUGAAAUUCGUAGAUAUUCGGCGGAACACCAGUGGCGAAGGCGACUCACUGGCCCGAUACUGACGCUGAGGCGCGAAGGCGUGGGGAGCAAACAGG
rnacentral:rRNA from 1 species